rnacentral:rRNA from 1 species
UACAGAGGUCCCGAGCGUUGUUCGGAUUCACUGGGCGUAAAGGGUGCGUAGGUGGCCUGAAAAGUUUGAUGUGAGAGCUCAGGGCUUAACCCUGAAAUGGCAUUGAAUACUGUUGGGCUGGAGGUUUGGAGGGGGGACUGGAAUUCUUGGUGUAGCAGUGAAAUGCGUAGAUAUCAAGAGGAACACCAGUGGCGAAGGCGAGUCCCUGGACAACACCUGACACUGAGGCACGAAAGCUAGGGGAGCAAACAGG